CUUUUGUUGGCAUCAGGUAAGUAAGUGGUAGGUUUAUUGAUUUUUUAAUUUAAAAAAAAAAAAAAAACACUUACCGUUGCUGUGAAGAGGCGUCGCCUCUCGCCUGCGUCGCCUCUCGCCUCUCCGGCCUGAGGCGUCGCCUCCCCAAAGUCCAGCCAGGCAUUCCAGUCGAGGCGACAGAGGGCCGUCUCGCCUGGGCGCCUCUCUCGCCUUUGAUAACACUGGGUUCUAUAUGUUUCACAAACAUUUGGGUAAGUCUUGUAAAACAUUUUUUACAUUUUCUAGUUUUUGGCAAGCUUAGGAAAAUAGGUGAAUGUAAAAUAUCCUUCUAGUCAAAAGAAAAACU
rnacentral:misc_RNA from 1 species